CGUAGGGUGCGAGCGUUGUCCGGAAUUAUUGGGCGUAAAGGGCUCGUAGGCGGUUUGUCACGUCGGGAGUGAAACUCAGGGCUUAACCCUGAGCCUGCUUUCGAUACGGGCUGACUAGAGGUAUGCAGGGGAGAACGGACUCCUGGUGUAGCGGUGAAAUGCGCAGAUAUCAGGAAGAACACCGGUGGCGAAGGCGGUUCUCUGGGCAUUACCUGACGCUGAGGAGCGAAAGUGUGGGGAGCGAACAGGAUU
rnacentral:rRNA from 1 species